AGUGAACGCUGGCGGUAUGCCUAACACAUGCAAGUCGAACGGCAGCACAGUAAGAGCUUGCUCUUACGGGUGGCGAGUGGCGGACGGGUGAGGAAUACAUCGGAAUCUACUUUUUCGUGGGGGAUAACGUAGGGAAACUUACGCUAAUACCGCAUACGACCUACGGGUGAAAGCAGUGGAUCUUCGGACCUUGCGCGAUUGAAUGAGCCGAUGUCGGAUUAGCUAGUUGGCGGGGUAAAGGCCCACCAAGGCGACGAUCCGUAGCUGGUCUGAGAGGAUGAUCAGCCACACUGGAACUGAGACACGGUCCAGACUCCUACGGGAGGCAGCAGUGGGGAAUAUUGGACAAUGGGCGCAAGCCUGAUCCAGCAAUACCGCGUGGGUGAAGAAGGCCUUCGGGUUGUAAAGCCCUUUUGUUGGGAAAGGAAAGCAGCAGGUUAAUACCCCGCUGUUCUGACGGUACCCAAAGAAUAAGCACCGGCUAACUUCGUG
rnacentral:rRNA from 1 species